rnacentral:rRNA from 1 species
UACAGAGGGUGCGAGCGUUGUCCGGAAUCACUGGGCGUAAAGGGCGCGUAGGUGGCGACCCAAGUCUGUGGUGAAAGCUCGACGCUCAACGUCGAGUCGGCCAUAGAUACUGGGUUGCUCGAGCACUGUAGAGGCAGAUGGAAUUCCGGGUGUAGCGGUUGAAUGCGUAGAGAUCCGGAGGAACACCAGUGGCGAAGGCGGCACUCUGGGCCGGUACUGACGCUGAGGAGCGAAAGCGUGGGGAGCGAACAGG